rnacentral:rRNA from 1 species
UACGUAGGGUGCAAGCGUUAAUCGGAAUUACUGGGCGUAAAGCGUGCGCAGGCGGCUUUGCAAGACAGAUGUGAAAUCCCCGGGCUUAACCUGGGAACUGCAUUUGUGACUGCAUGGCUAGAGUGCGGCAGAGGGGGAUGGAAUUCCGCGUGUAGCAGUGAAAUGCGUAGAUAUCUGGAGGAAUACCGGUGGCGAAGGCGGCAUCCUGGACCAUUACUGACGCUGAGGCGCGAAAGCUAGGGGAGCAAACGGG